GGAGCAGUAGCAGAGUGGUGAUGCUUGUGUCUGGAGUUCAGAAGGGCAUGGGUUCGAAUCCCCUCUGCCCCC
rnacentral:tRNA from 1 species